GGGGGGAGUGUGUGUUUACUACACUUUAGUGGUCGCCCAAACAUGCUUGGGGCGCUGAGGAACCAGAUAGAGCGCCCGUGUAGCAAGUUUAGGCUCUGCCACUGUACUUCAAGGUGAAGAAAAAACUUUAGAAUAAUAAAGAGUUUUAUUAUUGAACAUUUCUAAUCGAUGGUACAGAAAGGAUAAUUCUGAAGUGAAAAAAACAAAGAACAUGUGUAUUAUAGUAGCCCUUGUCAGUCUUGGGUCACGGCUUUAAAAUCAAGCAGAUGAACAUAACAUCGCUGUUGCAAUUAAUUUCAAUUAACGAUGUGAACUCAAGCAAACUAGCAGGGAGACAAUCCAAUAAUAAAAAAAAAACCGUCAGCCGGUUAACGCCCUUGUGACCUUGCGAUCUAUCGGACAGAUGAUGUAACCAUCGUCUGUUUCUUUGACCAACGGCUAACGAGGAUGCCAUGUGGCCAGCGCAUCUACCAACCGCCUUUACUUUCCCCAAAGUAAUGUCAGGCUUUAUUCUCAGAAAAUGUUCUCGAUAGGUCGAAGUCUCUAUACAAGUGAUUAUGUCUAACACUACGUAUUGGCUCUCUCCAGUUACUUGACUUCGGGAGAGCUCUUCGCGCCGGCUUGCCAGGUUUCUCUCGAGUGCCCACUUACCUGACAACUUUACUUGGAAGAUAAACCGAGCUGGCAACUGAAACCCGCUAAGCUUAUGAGAUUACCUGGCCACUAUCAAGACUUGCAAAAAUGAACACGUUUCAAUGGAAGAUAUUUUUUAAAGUAUUAUUUUUCUUCUUAAUGGCACAAACAAACAAGAAUGUUUACAAAAAAAAAAGUCACGUUGAAAUAUGUGUAUCUGUUGUCUGCUUAUGUUUUGACAUAUGUAGUUCUCCCCCUUUACUUCGAACUCUCCCCCUUUACCAAAAUGAUUUGUAUUUCGUAAGCUAACGAUGCACGAUUGACGUCUGCUAUAAACACCUUGCUUUUGAAUUUGGUGAAAUGAAACAGUUAUGUAAGCUAGUUCAUCACUUGAUGUUCCAUGAUGCCAUAUAUCUCAUAAAAAUGUUUGCACAAAAUUACAGGACUAAAUGGCAAGUAUACACUAAAUAAUCAGGCCGGAUUUACCAGUAGGUAACACACGCUAUUGCUUAGGGCACCCAAGA